UUGGAAUGAUUAAAACUAUAAUGGAAAUGCUUAUAUUUAGUUUCAAACACACUCGUGUGACCUAAUAUUAGACCUGUAUAAGAAAAGACCUAAACUCAACUUCUUUGUCUGAAUUAUGAAUUACAGUACAUUCAAGGUCUCCUUAACGUAGUGAAAUACAUGAUAUUGAUAUUGUUAUCUACCUCUUUAAAUUCAUAUCAUGCACUAAAUAUUUUACCAUUCAGAAUUUAUAUACGGAUGCAGUGAAUUUCAUCUUUAAUACGAAUUAUUCUUGACAUGUGUAUCCACAUGUCUCCUUUAUUGUAUAUCAUAAUAAUGAUAAUAAUAAUAAUUACGAAUGAUACUGCGUUUGGUGUAAAUAGUUAAAAUAAAAUAACGCUAAUUAAGGAACGACGUUUCGACUCCAUCAUGAAGUCAUUCUCAAUUUCAAAAGAGUUAAAUAAGAAUACUGCUUGCUAUUAACUAUAAGCUAAAUGGUCAAAGCUCAUAACAAUGGGACAGCUAAGCAUGCCAAAGCUAGACAAAGGGCUUAGCUUCGAUAAAAUCAGACUGUUUAUUCACACUUGGUUUUAAUUGUCUAAUGUAUAGCAUCUCAUAGACGAGACAGUCAAAUUUACUUUUGCAUUUCUUUAGUGUUUUGAAACAUUUAUUAAUACUGUUCGGUUUGGUAAAAUGGU